rnacentral:tRNA from 2 species
GCCGAGGUAGCUCAGUUGGUAGAGCAGUAGUUUUGUAAACUAUUGGUCGGGGGUUCGAGUCCUCUCCUCGGCU